ACGUUCCAGGGGAAGAUUCGUCCGUCUACCCUCUGGUAAUUCCCACCUCCACCCCCUGGGUAGCGUCUCAGAAGUAUAGCGUUAGAGGCCCUAUAAGCUUGGAGAACCUGAUAUAUUGGAGACUUGACGUGCUAACAGUGGUACGGCAGGAAGGAGUGAAGCCUAAGGAUGAAGACUUCUGCCUUCUCCUUAGACUCCUGUCUGCAUCUCACUCACCACAUGUCGAUGGGGGUGGAGUACUCCGUGGAUCCCAGCAGCACGUCUGGGGGCCUGUACCAGAGGGUCACCACCUCAUUGGAGUAGGUCUUUGUAGGCACUGAUUUGGCCCGGGCCAGGCCUAGGAAGAGACUUGUCACUAAACCUCUGCUAAAGGGUCCUGAAGGGUCACAUACUCAGUCACCCCCCAGAAUCCCUACACCUGAGGAGGCUGUGCACCCGAGGAGUCAGACCCACCUGCCAACCCUUACCCUGACCCUGGCAUCAGCCUCACCAAAGUCAGCCAGUUUCAGUUCCCCCCUCUCAUUGAUGAGCAGGUUCUGGGGCUUCAGGUCCCGGUGUAGGAUCUUGCGGCGGUGGCAAUAGGCCAGACCCCGGAGCAGCUGGAACAUAAAAAUCUGACGAAGAGAGGAGAAAUGAGAAACGUGUGGGAUCAGGUCCCAUGUGGGAGCCUCUACGCUUCUGUCUCGGGCUGGACAGGAACGGGGACCAGGACAAGUCUCUAGGGAGGCUCCCUGGUUCUGUUGCCCACCCUGUAGGUCACCCAG
rnacentral:lncRNA from 1 species